CACGGGAGCAAUCCUGGUGGCGAGUGGCGAACGGGUGAGUAAUAUAUCGGAACGUACCUUUCAGUGGGGGAUAACGUAGCGAAAGUUACGCUAAUACCGCAUAUUCCGUGAGCAGGAAAGCAGGGGAUCUUAGGACCUUGCGCUGAUUGAGCGGCCGAUAUCAGAUUAGCUAGUUGGUGAGGUAAAGGCUCACCAAGGCGACGAUCUGUAGCGGGUCUGAGAGGAUGAUCCGCCACACUGGAACUGAGACACGGUCCAGACUCCUACGGGAGGCAGCAGUGGGGAAUUUUGGACAAUGGGGGCAACCCUGAUCCAGCCAUGCCGCGUGAGUGAAGAAGGCCUUCGGGUUGUAAAGCUCUUUCAGCCGGGAAGAAAACGCAUGGGUUAAUACCCUGUGUGGAUGACGGUACCGGAAUAAGAAGCACCGGCUAACUACGUGCCAGCAGCCGCGGUAAUACGUAGGGUGCGAGCGUUAAUCGGAAUUACUGGGCGUAAAGCGUGCGCAGGCGGUUUUGUAAGACAGGCGUGAAAUCCCCGGGCUCAACCUGGGAACUGCGUUUGUGACUGCAAGGCUAGAGUAUGGCAGAGGGGGGUGGAAUUCCACGUGUAGCAGUGAAAUGCGUAGAGAUGUGGAGGAACACCGAUGGCGAAGGCAGCCCCCUGGGCCAAUACUGACGCUCAUGCACGAAAGCGUGGGUAGCAAACAGGAUUAGAUACCCUGGUAGUCCACGCCCUAAACGAUGUCAAUUAGGUGUUGGGUGGGUAAAACCAUUUAGUACCGGAGCUAACGCGUGAAGUUGACCGCCUGGGGAGUACGGCCGCAAGGUUAAAACUCAAAGGAAUUGACGGGGACCCGCACAAGCGGUG
rnacentral:rRNA from 1 species